UUACCCAAUCAUAGUCCGUAACGUUACGUUUUGAGAGACAUGUCCAUCCACCAAUCAGAUUUCUACUUGUGCGCAUAUCGCCAGCCGGUAUCCACUGUAUCUUUGUCUUAUCUUUUGAGUUUCGACUUCGCUGUGGCGCCGAUCGCGUGCUAAAAGUACACUAGAGCAACAAUGGUGAAGAUUUUCAUUGGGAACCUGUCUCAGCACGCUGGGAAGGAGGAAGUGGAAGCUCUGUUUACGCAGUAUGGCACAGUGACAGAAUGCGCCAAGUACAAAAACUAUGCUUUUGUCCAUAUGGAAGACCGCAAGUCGGCCACCAAAGCCAUUCGUGAGCUCCAUCUGUAUAAGCUGAAUGGCAGGCCCAUCAAUGUGGAGCCCAGCAGAGGGAAGAACCAGGGCCCUGUGAAGCUCCACAUAGCCAAUGUAGAAAAGGGCUUCGAUAAGGAGCUCCGCGAUCUGUUUGAAGAGUACGGCACAGUCACAGAGUGUUCCAUUGUCAAGAACUUUGCCUUUGUGCACAUGUCCAAUUCUGAUGAGGCCAUGGAUGCCAUACAGGGUCUGGAUAACACAGAGUUUCAAGGAAAGCGCAUACAUGUUCAGAUAUCAAAAAGCAGACCCAGAGGGGAACCCGAGGAGGAGGACUAUCCACCUCCGCCUGGCAGAGGAGGCUAUUAUCCUCCUCGCUUCCCAGGGGAGAGGCCUGAGCCUCCCUUCAGAGGCCGCAUGGCCCCUUACCCUCCUCCGCCUCCGCCUAUGUCGUCCCCUCCCCCGAGACGAGGAGCGUAUCCCGACCGUGGCUAUGGCGAGCGAGACGGCUAUGGGGUGGUUGAUUACUAUGAGAAAUUCAGAGCCCGGCCUUACAGCAUGGCAGGCUACGAUGACAGGCGUUCCAGUGCCAUCCCCCCCCCUCCUCCGCCUCCUCCCUCGGCACUGGUUAGAGAACGUCUCGGAAUGGGGAACCUUGACCCAUACGAGCGCCGUCCGCUCCCCCCUCCUCCUCCGCCCUACAUGGUCAGGGACCGAAGCCCCAUCAGACGACCCCCCCCGCCGCCUGCUCCAUCAGCUGGUAACGGGUACUCCUACGAGCGGUCCCGGCUCUCCCCGCUGUCCAGGGGUCCGAUGUAUGCAGCUCCCCGCCCCAGGGACUCCUUCUCAGAGAGAGUGCCGUUGCCGCCACCACCUCGAUAUGCAGGUUAUUAGGCACAUAAGAGUGUAAUACAAGGUUGUUAGACUCUAUGCAGGAGAUUGCCAGCUCAUGGUAAGUUGUCCUCGGAAGAUGUGCAGCAUCAUGUAGAAAAGAGGUAGGUGUUGUUUAAACUUUACUGCAAAACACCUCUUACUAAUGCAAUAAAUUGUCUCCUCUCGUGUUGCAUUCAUACUGCAGUGUCAGAACUUUAAAAUUGUAUUUUUAAAAUCUGGAAACCUUGACAUUUUUUUUUUUUUAAAGGAAGUUUAAAAAAAUCUUUUUUUUUACUCUAGUUUUGCACAUUGCCAAAAUGUUUAAGUGAACAUAAAGACCUCCAUGGAAUUUGUUUUUAUUAAUUGUAGUUUUUAUUUAAUUUUAUUGUUAAUAUAUUGUCCUUGAUGAGGAGUGGGAGUGCUGACCCGGUCUCUUUGUCUGCAGGCCUGUCUCUGCUCUGGUGGCUGUAAUAAGUCUUUCUGAACAUUACAAGCUAGAAAAAGAUGGGACCAGAUGGUCCUGUAGUUAAAGGACGUGGAUUUGGUCCUUCAGUGAAAGUUUGGUCCGUUGGCUGGUGAGCUGGAGUAAACGUCCAGUCCUCAGAAAACCUGCAUGGUUACAUCUUUGUUCUCUGCAGCUGAAUAAUAACAGCAAAAUAACUUAUAUUUCCUGGGUGAAAUACAUGUAUGUAUGUAUGUAUGUAUGUAUGUAUGUAUGUAUGUAUAUAAAUAACUAUAUGUUGUUUUAUUUAUUUUAUGUGUUAUCCUAUUUUAAUAUACAUGGAAUUAUCAGUUAUGUUCUCUCAUCUAAUUAUGUUGUAUAACCUUGUGUUGUAAAAUGAUAAAUAAAUUACCUUGUCCCUUUUUGUAUAAUGGGUUUGAUAGAGGAACAUUUAAUUUGGAUCAAUCCUACAGGUCACAUUGAUCCAUUCUUACAGACUCAAAUCAUCUCAAACUUGACAAAGAGCACCCCAUCUGUCCCACCUGCAAGGGUCCUCUAACCAGCCCUCUUCACCUAAUUCAUGAAUCUGAGAUACGGCUAAAACCAUGAAGUGUUAAAAUUGUGACAGGGUUUUGUUACAGUCCACAUGGCCUGAAAUGUUUACUUGAAACCAUUGCACGAUCUUUUACACACAACUGUUACACCUUUUGUUUUGCUAGCAUAGUAUAAUUACUAUUAUGAACCUAAAACUAUUUCAUACAAAUAUACUGUAGGUUACUGUAUAUAGGCAGUUGCAUCCAAGUAUAUGCAGCACUUAAUUGUUAAAAUGUAUUAAUGUCAUCUUUGAUUUUUAAUAUGGAUAUAGACUUUUUUUUUUACAUUGUCUUUUCAGUAUGAAAAGUUUAAACAUCAUAAAACCUUAGUAAGUACAGACUCUUUUUCUGUCUGAAUUGAUGUCUUCUUCCUACACCUUUUUUUUUUUUUUAAAGAAUGUAGAGUAACGAGGUUACACUUACAAUCUGUUAGAGGCUGUUUGAUACUAAGGGUUUCUAAAUACAUUUUCAAACGUUUGCUGUUAAUCCCAGGUGGCGUAUUGUGAUCUAUCCUGCCCCUCCAAACAUUUAUGGGUUACCUGGGCUGUCUAACGUUUACCUCUAGUGGUCGAGCUAAGAAAGUUCUCCCAGUUUGACCCAACCUCUGUUCUAGUUAACAGUCUCAGUGAAAAUUUAGCCUGAUUUUGAAAUAUGUGGACAACAAAAGAUUCCCCUCAGUGUACAAGGUGUGGGAUAUAAUUACAGACGAACUGGUAUUACAGAAUCCACACUUCUUACUCAAUUCAGCUGUAACAAAAAGCAUCAGAAUUUCAUUACAUGGUGGUAAAUUGUUGGAUCACUCUCAGUCAGUGUCACUGGAUUUAUCAUAAUAUUUGACUAACAUGAUGCUGUGUCUCUUGAUGAGGGAGAAAAGGUGACUAACAAAGGAAAUCUUCCAGAUUUACAAAAGAAUGAGUGUCACUUUCUCUCUCCCCUUUUUGGAAGUGUUGUUUGCUAACUCAAGUUUCUCAGUUCAAAUGAGGUUUCCUUUAAGCACGCUUCCUUCUUGCUGGCCUUGAGUUUCGCAAAGUCAUAGGUGGUGGUUAGAUUCUCAUUACUGUGGUUUGCUGGACCGGUCCAACUGCCACCCGCAUGGCACAUGUCACAUUCUGAACUUUUCUUUUGUACGCAUCAUUCCUGGAGCCCGCUGUAGUUAACAGCUACAAUAACACUGUGAUCGCUCUUCUGCUUCCGCGUGAUAAAGAUCUCGUAUUGAAUUUUCUGCUUGAAAUUAAAUAUAGUAAGAUAAGGAUUCUCGAAUCGGACUGGACUUUGUUCUAAGACCUAUUGUAUAUAGCACCAGUUUCUGGACCUGACCCAACCAGUGUGUCUCUAAGCUUUGAGUUGUCAGACUUGUCUGAGACAGUCCAUGCCUCCAUGAAGUAAUCCACACAUGCAAUCAACAUAACGUUCACUGCCACCGUAAACACACUGGUAGGGUCCCUGUUUCAAGUGACAUCUCUGCCCAAAUUCAUCCCCUAGCACCCAUGGGGCAUGGACUGUCCAACCCCCACUCCUGCCCCACCUGUAAAUCCCAUCCCAGUCUGUCUCACACCCAGACACCGACAUUUUGCCUCCAAAUGACCUUAUUGAAAUGAUCUUAUUACCAUUACACCUACAAUAACUCCAUCCACGCCUCCAUUAUUUCUAUAGGCCCUUUUUCAUCGUUUGAAUUGCUGGCCCUCUGCCUUCUAAUGUACAGACCCCCUAAGCCCAAUAUUCAUUUUUUUAUCAGUGAAUUCUCUGAUCUCCUUUCCCUAAAUGCUCCAAAAUACGACAAUAUUCCCGGACUAAACUCUUCAAAGAAGUCAUUGGCACCACUCCCUGGAAACCAGCCCCCCAUCUCCCAAACAUGCAGUUGUCCAGCCACUUUUAAAAAAACAGAAUCCAGAUCCUUCAGUCCUCAAUAACUACAGACCAAUCUCACUCGCCUUUGACUGUGCCUGAAACUAAUCCAGGUAUUUCCCCUGAAGUCUCUGUAGGUCUGUGUCGUUAUUAUGGGCUCUGUGUGACCAUGUGCCUUAACAAUUAUUAUUAUUAUUAUUAUUGUUAUAAUUACUAUUAUCAUCAUCGUUGUUAUUACUAUGAGCACUCUGAUUUUUCUGCUUGUGUUUGUUUCCUUCCUUUGCUUUAUUUUCCUCUGUGUUUGCCCAAAAAGCACUUUGGAUCAGCUGUGUGUAUAUAAAUAAAUAAAGCUAAAUGAAAGAUGCUGUUAUUACCCAAAUCCAGUAUUACCACGAUACAGCUCUUCACUUUUGCACCUGCGUGCUGUUUUUGUCUGAUCAUGUCGCGCUGAGAGGAGAAUCUGAUAAACAUGUCUGCACACCCUG